GCUCAAGAAUGAGGACUCCUCAAACUAGAAUCGGAACUCAGUCCAAUAGUAUUGCUGAUGAUAUUCCUACACCUCUCAUUGUUACCAAGUCUUUGCCUCCUCCUCCUCCACCCUUCAGGGAAGAUGAACUUCCUCACUCUGGUACACACACAAAAAAAAAACAACAAUUAAUUACUACUAAUUUACAUUAUUAUUAUUAUUAUUAUUAUUAUUAUGAUAAUAACUUGUAUAUAUUGUGUGGAUGUAGCGAGGGCGAAACAAUUGGUAAUGUCAAGGGGAACUGAAACAUUAAUUCAUGGAACAAGAGGUGGGUUCUUAGGGUUUGAAACAGUACAACCAUCUUCUUCAUUAGAUAUUAUGGGUGGUGGUCCAUCUUCUAGUGGUUCAAAGGAGCUUCGGCGCAUCGGGAAGAUUAGGAUGAUAUGGGAGGAGUCAGUGAGUUUGUGGGCUGAAGAAGGUGAGCAUCAUAGAGGUAGAGUAAAACUACAAGGUUGCAGUUUUUUAAAUGCAGAUGAAAUUGCAUUUUUGGAUGAUUCUAUGGUGGCUAGCACUAUGGAGGCCUUUGAAGAUGGACCAAUGAAAGGCUUUUCUGUUGAUAGAUUCCAAUCUGGGAUACAACUCAAAGUCUUUGGCAGAAGAAAAUCUUCUUCACCUAUUGCUCCUUGUGGUAUUUUAAUUUUCAUUUUCAUUUAAUUGCUCAAAGUCCAUUUAUUUGUUCCUAGUUUAAAAUUUUCUAUUCAAUUUUUUAGGUCCAAGUGAAAGAUUGCAGCUUCCCUCUUCUGAAUUUCCCAUCAGAUGUAAGUCUCUUCCAUAAAAUUUAGAAUUUUCUAUUUGUGUAAAGGCAAUCAUUAGAUUUUCUAUUUCUUCCUGUUGUAAGCUAAAUGAAUUUAAUAUUAGUCUAUACCAUGGUUCCCAUGAAUAGUGCUCUCCUUAACUGAAAUUUAAAUAAUUUAAAAAUUAUUCUGCAGCAACUACGCCUUGGGAAUUUCAAGAUCCAACUGAGUACUACGUUGGUUGUCUCAGAUCUCCUCCUCCUACACUUCCAA
rnacentral:lncRNA from 1 species